rnacentral:rRNA from 2 species
AUAACGACUCUCGGCAACGGAUAUCUCCGCUCU